GCGGGUGUAACUCAGUUGGUAGAGUGCCAGCUUCCCAAGCUGGUUGUCGUGGGUUCGACUCCCAUCGCCCGCUCCA
rnacentral:tRNA from 1 species